UCGCGGCCUAUCAGCUUGUUGGUGGGGUAACGGCCCACCAAGGCUACGACGGGUAGCUGGUUUGAGAGAACGAUCAGCCACACUGGAACUGAGACACGGUCCAGACUCCUACGGGAGGCAGCAGUGGGGAAUCUUGCGCAAUGGGCGAAAGCCUGACGCAGCAACGCCGCGUGCGGGAUGACGGCCUUCGUGGUUGUAAACCGCUUUCAGCAGGGACGAAAAUGACGGUACCUGCAGAAGAAGCCCCGGCUAACUACGUGCCAGCAGCCGCGGUAAUACGUAGGGGGCAAGCGUUGUCCGGAUUCAUUGGGCGUAAGGAGCUCGUAGGCGGUUCAGUAAGUUGGGUGUGAAAGCUCCGGGCUCAACCCGGAGAGGCCACCCAAUACUGCUGUGACUAGAGUCCAGUAGAGGAGCGUGGAAUUCCUGGUGUAGCGGUGAAAUGCGCAAAUAUCAGGAGGAACACCAUUAGCGAAGGCGGCGCUCUGGGCUGGAACUGACGCUGAGGAGCGAAAGCGUGGGUAGCAAACGGGAUUAGAUACCCCGGUAGUCCACGCCGUAAACGUUGGGCACUAGGUGUGGGGAGGAGUCAACCCUCUCCGUGCCGUAGCUAACGCAUUAAGUGCCCCGCCUGGGGAGUACGGA
rnacentral:rRNA from 1 species